AAACUUACCUGGCGCCGGGUUUAGGGUGAUCAGCAAGGCUCUGACCCCAGGUGGAGGCUCAGAGUUGCACUCCGCUGUGUUGAAGUCUGUGACGGACUUUAAUCGGGUUCGCUCAGGUGCAUAGUUUUUGCCAGUGGGGAGCCUUCGGGCAUUCCUUU
rfam:Hydatigera taeniaeformis genome assembly, scaffold: TTAC_contig0017468